GAAGCCACUACACCACAAUUAAGCACCUAUUUUAGCUAGCUACCUAAACCCCUCUAUCACGAAAGAGAAGGCCAGCCAGAGACAAUAUAUGAGAAAUUGUUGUUCAUCGAUAAAGUAGAUCCAUAUAUGAUGUAUGUAUGGAUGAGAGAAUCCGAUCCUCCGGUGAGUGGCUUCCGAUCCGUGCUAUGCUUGUCAAAUGAGCAGUCUUUUUGCUGUCCACCUUUCUUUCGUUGUCUGUUCGACCUUUAAUUUGAAACUAAACUGUGUUCCGCUUUAUAAACCCUACUGCUUCUAAUCUUACAUGCAACUAACUACCCACUUCUGUUUCUUUCUCCAAUUUCUAUUCCGUUUAUUUAAUUCUAUAUACAUACAGUAGUAACUAUCUUAGCUUUAUGUUAUUUUGGGAUGGACUGGUAGUUGGUACCAAACACUCUACUUUUAUCGUAUCAUCAUCCUAUAUAUCAUACAAGUUUGAUUCUGAUAUAUUUUUUUGGGGUGACGAGGGAAAUCCGCAGCCACCCCCACUGGAUAAAUCACGCCUUAUGAUACUAACUAUCAAAGGUUCAUAAGAAGUAAAUCAGCCUAGAUUGCUUAUAGCUGACCAGCUUGAACCAAGAUCAGACUGGGAUUCAAACUCAUGACUUUAUGGGUAUCCUUAGCCAUAUUGGCUAGAGUUACCUAGAAACUUGAUAUUUUUGAUUGAUGGAUCCAUUGUGGCUGGAGGGAGGGUCCAAAUUUUGGUUACAUUGCACUCAAUCAUUUAGGUGAUAUCACUUGCAAUCAAUUCCUAUAAAUUUGUUUGUAAUAAUUUUACAAUUUCAAUAACCAUAGUCCAUUAUCCAAUAAAUAAAAUAUUCUUAUAUAUAUAUAUAUGAAUGAUAUGUUGUGCAAAAUAAGAGUAUAGUAUAGUGAGCAUAUAUAUAUAGUGUUAGUGUCAAAAAGGAGAACAUGAUUUAAAGGUCGAAGUGACAACGAAUGUGAGGUAUAACAAGCAAAGACUGCUAAUUUGCCAAGCUUUGCAUGGAAUCCGACGCCAAUGUAUAUAUUCAAAUGAUAUGAUGCCGCACAGAUCAGAUCCAACAUAAUAUAUAUAUGUUGAAUGACUGCAAUUCAACAAGGUAAUUCUUCCCUUAUUUUGCACACUAUAUCGCUAGCAUAUGUGAUAUAGCAGAAUGGAUGGGAGUACAUACACUGCAAUUCAACAUGCAUGUUUUCCCAUCCAUUCUGUUUCUCAUAAAUAUAUAUUCCCAUGUAUGUGAUUUUGGUUCAAUUCGUUACCUAUAGUUAUUGUAUAUUACGGAGUAUUAUAAUAUUUGGUGACUUUAAUUUUAAAUGAAUCAACUUUGUAAUUCUACCAAAGGCCUUGUGGUCAAGCGGCAUGAAGUGAUUCUUUCAAGUGGGAGGUUAUGAGUUUGAGCCUCAGUGGGGACUUCAGUAGGUUGAGAAAGUAUAUGGACAGAGACUACAUGUCACAGGGUCAAUAGUAAUUCAAAAAAAAAAAACUUUGUAAUCCUAAUGCUUAUUAAGUGUUAAUACUUAUAUUUGACUUUUCAUACACAAGUGUACUACUUCAACAGAAAAUGUUUCUCAAUCGUAUUGUUGUUAUGAAUACAAAGGGAACACAAAGGGAUAGACACUUAUUAUUAUUA